rnacentral:lncRNA from 1 species
GGAACUCGGCCCCUCUGUUUUAGCUUGCCAAAACGCCGAAGGUCCAGAAAACAGCUGCGCUCCCACCCGCCGCUUCCCCGUUUUAUUCGUCUCCUUCUGUUCGGGAAUUUUUCUGUCUUCUGGUUUCGCGUCUUCUCAUCCCACUGCAACAUCCCGGGAGAGCCGCCCGGGACGCGCCCUAAAAGCUCUUCGGAGCUUUGCGUUGAUUUCAUGGCCCAAGAAAAUCCGCUUGUCGUGCUGGACAGCGACUCAGACGAGCAUGGAAGUCCCUGGCAGACAAGAUUAACUUCCAAGGGCAGACAUUUUCCUGACAUCAUUUCUGUCAGUUCUGAUGAAGAAAUGUCUGCUACAAGUGCUGUAACACUAAAAACAACUUUGUCAUUUGAGGACAGAAGCUUUCCUGAUAUCAUUUCUGUCAGUUCUGCGGAAGAAUCAAAGCUUGCAAGAUCCAGUACAAGUAAUGAUAUUUUCAAGCAAAAUUUAAAAGUUAGGUAACCGUAGCAACAAGAUGUUCCCAUAGUGCAGCUGAACAUAAGUCCAUUUGGGAGUCUUAACAGAAGGAUCAUAACUUAGUAGUACAGCAUCUGUGGUUUAUGCAGAUUGCCACAGGUUCGGUUCUUGGCAUUUCUAGGUAAGACUAGUAGGAUCUCUUCUGCCAGUCUUCAUAUACAACAUUGACAUAGAUGGGCCACAAGACUCAAGAGUUAAACAGUGAAUAGUGCUGGGAUUUGUAGCUGUCAUACAUACCAUAUAGACUAGAACUCACAUUCUACCUACCCACACAAUUUUUCACUUAGACCCAGCUAGGCUGUUGGUUUUCAAAAUCACAAUUUUCACAGUCCCCAAAUGAGAUUAUUCCAAAGCAUCCACACUGAUUUGCAUUGAGAGGCCAAUUCCGCAUUCAAAUCAAUGUAGUUUUCAGGUGAGCAG